CAGUCGCCGCGGUAAUACGAAGGGGGCUAGCGUUGCUCGGAAUGACUGGGCGUAAAGGGCGCGUAGGCGGCGGCCAAAGUCAGGCGUGAAAUUCCUGGGCUCAACCUGGGGGCUGCGUUUGAUACUUGGUUGCUUGAGUGGGGAAGAGGGUCGUGGAAUUCCCAGUGUAGAGGUGAAAUUCGUAGACAUUGGGAAGAACACCGGUGGCGAAGGCGGCGACCUGGUCCUUGACUGACGCUGAGGCGCGAAAGCGUGGGGAGCAAACAGGAUUAGAUACCCGCGUAGUCCCUGUCUCUUAUAC
rnacentral:rRNA from 1 species